AGAUGGGUUUGCGUUGCAUUAGCUAGUUGGAGAGAUAAAAGCUCCCCAAGGCAACGAUGCAUAACCGACCUGAGAGGGUGAUUGGUCACACUGGAACUGAGAAACGGACCAGACUCCUACGGGAGGCAGCAGUAGGGGAUAUUCGGCAAUGGACGAAAGUCUGACCGAGCGACGCCGCGUGAGAGAAGAAGGAAUUCGUUUCGUAAAACUCUGUCAAUAGGGAAGAAAAUUAACUGAGAGAAAAGGCAGAUAAUUGACAGUACCUAAAGAGGAAGCCACGGCAAACUACGUGCCAGCAGCCGCGGUAAAACGUAGGUGGCAAGCGUUAUUCGGAAUAAUUGGGCGUAAAGAGCUCGUAGGCGGAACAAAAAGUCAAAUGUGAAAACUAGGGGCUCAACCCCAAGAUAGCAUUAGAAACUAGAGAACUAGAGUACAGAAGAGGAGAGUGGAAUUCCACAAGUAGCGGUGAAAUGCGUAGAUAUGUGGAGGAACACCAGUGGCGAAGGCGACUCUCUGGUCUGAGACUGACGCUGAGGAGCGAAAGCGUGGGUAGCAAACAGGAUUAGAUACCCUGGUAGUCCACGCCGUAAACGAUGAGUGCUAAGUGUUAGAGGGUAUCCACCCUUUAGUGCUGAAGUUAACGCAUUAAGCACUCCGCCUGGGGAGUACAGUCGCAAGACAGAAACCCAAAGGAAUUGACGGGGACCCGCACAAGCGGUGGAGCAUGUGGUUUAAUUCGAAGCAACGCGAAAAACCUUACCAGGUCUUGACAUCCCUUGAAAAGCUAGAGAUAGAAAAUACUCGAAAGAGACAAGGAGACAGGUGGUGCAUGGUUGUCGUCAGCUCGUGUCGUGAGAUGUUGGGUUAAGUCCCGCAACGAGCGCAACCCUUGAGCUUAAUUACCAGCAGUAAGAUGGGGACUAUAAGCUGACUGCCGAUGAGAAAUCGGAGGAAGGUGGGGAUGACGUCAAAUCAUCAUGCCCCUUAUGACCUGGGCUACACACGUGCUACAAUGGAUGAAACAAAGGGAAGCGAAACUGAGAAGAAGAGCAAACCCCAAAAAAACAUUCCCAGUUCAGAUUGAAGUCUGCAACUCGACUGCAUGAAGGAGGAAUCGCUAGUAAUCGCAGAUCAGAAUGCUGCGGUGAAUACGUUCCCGGGUCUUGUACACACCGCCCGUCACACCACGAGAGUUUGUAACACCCGAAGUCGGUGGGGUAACCGCAAGGAGCCAGCCGCCUAAGGUGGGACAGAUGAUUGGGGUGAAGUCGUAACAAGGUA
rnacentral:rRNA from 1 species